CAAUGGGAAGAGUGUGACGUCAAGAGGUGUUCUUACUUCUGGAUCCCUGCAAUAGGGCCUGAAGAAAACAAGCAUAUCCCACCAGCAGGAGCCAAAAUAUUGAGAGACAGAUAGCAUGGGGACUCUUAUCUCCAUAUUGGUGUCGGUCUGUCCUCCAAGCUUAGCUGCUACUAUCAUUUCCUGACUGCCUCAUGUUUUCAUCUGUCCAUAGGUCUGCUUUAAGGCUCGUCAGUUCUGCAUGAAAGGAAAAGCCGAGGAGGAGACUGUCUCAAAUCUCUGGAGGACCCCUGAAGUCUGCUGUGGGGCUUAACAUCACUUGAACACAGACAGGAGGAAGAAAUUGCAGCGCAUCAGUGAAGAUCCACCUGCAGUGGCAGGUCCUGUGGUGUUGGAGUUGCUGCUAAAUAACCACUCUCAUCUGGUCUGCACCCACCCAGGAACCAUCCAUCCUUCCCCAGCCUGGUUGUGCCUCUUCUGCACUUUAUCUGUAUUAUUGACUGAGACUGUGCUUGGGUAGAACCAUCCCUGAUUCCUGGAGUAAGAACCCACUGUAAUUCUUGUUUCCAGCUUUAUAUUCUAAGUCAUCAGAGAUCAGAGUGUGAAGAUACAAUUCUGUGACAUAUCUGUGGUUAAGACUUACUCUUGGAGAGGGGUAUAAACUG
rnacentral:lncRNA from 1 species